rnacentral:rRNA from 2 species
GAUCAUACUAGCACUAAUACAGUGGAACCCAUCAGAACUCCGCAGUUCAGCGUGCUCGGGUGAGAGUAGUAUUAGGACGGGUGACCUCCUGGGAAGUCCUCAUGUU